GUGUCAGCCGCCGCGGUAAGACAGAGGGUGCAAACGUUGUUCGGAAUUACUGGGCGUAAAGCGCGUGUAGGCGGCCGCGCAAGUCGGAUGUGAAAUCCCACGGCUCAACCGUGGAAGUGCACCCGAAACUGCGUGGCUCGAGUCCUGGAGAGGAAGGUGGAAUGCUCGGUGUAGAGGUGAAAUUCGUAGAUAUCGAGCGGAACACCGGUGGCGAAGGCGGCCUUCUGGACAGUGACUGACGCUGAGACGCGAAAGCGUGGGGAGCAAACAGGAUUAGAUACCCCCGUAGUCC
rnacentral:rRNA from 1 species